UCACAUCACGUUAAAACACCGAUUCCCGUACGAUCACCGAAGUUAAGUAACGUCAAGCGUGGUCAGUACGUAGAUGGGUGAUUGCUUGGGAAUACCAGGUGCUGUAA